rnacentral:lncRNA from 1 species
GAAAUUUCUAGAUGGCAAUGAAAUUGAAUUUAUCUGUGGUUGCGGUUAGCCAUUGGCAUUGAUAAUCACCACACAGCGGUAUUUUCUUUGAAGGUAGAUAGUUAGCACUCUCUAAACUAGAAAUUGCCCCCAUUUUAUCCAUUAUGACUCCGAGGCUUUUACAACAGAGCCAUAUAACUUCAGUCACCAGGGAGUUUUAGAACACUGAAGUUAGAAUGGAACCAUCACCGCUACUCUAUUAAUGUUGUAUCACUAUUCAGAUGCAGUUUAUUGCAGGGAACAGCUUAAACUCAAAUAUACUAGCAUCUAUACAAUCAUGACAACACUUAUUAGUUGGUACAUAACGUAUGGGCAGAGGCUGUGCUUGCCGGAGACUAUCUGUCUUUCAGGCUCAAGAAGCAAUGGCGAGUCAGCUGCUGUCGUGCCACAGUCUCUGUUUAUUAUGUUCUUAUUAUCUUUCUUAUUAUGAAAGGAAAGAGCUAAAUGUGUUCAUGUGUUUGCAGGAUGAUAGACAACUUAACCAUGUCAUAGGGCAACAGGAAGGACAGAAGUGGAGGGAAAAAGAGCAAGCAACUUUUCUUCUAUUCGAUUGGGAAGGAGUUUGGAACUGCAGACCCGUCAGCUAUAAGGAAGUCUGGUGUGAAUGCCCAGCCUUGCCCCAGAGGGGAAUGGGUCCUCACUGAGUACUCCUGCAUCCACCUGCUUUCCCAUCUCCCCGUUUGUACAGAAAAGAAGAUAAAGACAUUAUUUAAUUAUCCUCUUUGGGAUAUGAAAGUACCACGUGGAAGAUGGAGGCCAACUAUUUCUUCUUCAGGAGAGUCAAAAGAACCACAUUGAAGAAGAGGUUCACAACAGAUGCUAAAAAAUCUAAGGGUGCUCAUGGCCUGAAUACGUUUCCAGGCAGAGUUUGUGAGCAGAGUUCACAAAGGUGCGGAUGAAGACCGUUCGCUGGGCUUCACUAGUACAAAGACAGGCUGACAGUGCAAAGACGAAGAGGAACGGUCCCAGCCAUCAGGGAACUCAGCAGCUUGGAAGAUACUAAACAGCCACUCCUCCAGGAUCUUCUAGUUAGGAAAUUGAAGGCUCCGUCAUUGCUAUAGGCAUUUCAAGCUCGGCCAGUAGGCUCUGUAUAUUGACAGAGAUGAGAAAGACUGCUAUAGGUUAUGGCUCGUGUCCCAAGUUGUUGGGAAGGAACCUCUGGUUGCAGCAGGACUGACUGUACAAUUUGUGAGCCCAGUGUGAAAUGAAAAUGCAGGGCCCCUUGAUCAAAAAUUAUAAAAAAAUCUCAAGACAGCGCCAGCAGAGCAUUAAAACAAGCCCCAAGUCCCAGGCGCCACACAGCCUCGCUCUUCUGCAGUUCAGCUCUUCCUUUUACGUUCCUCUUCUGGCUACCUCAUUUAUCCUUCCGUAAACCUUCACUGAUGAGAGAUGUGGUAACCCAAGCAAGUCUAUCGUUCUUGCAACUAAAAUGAACCAGCACACUUAGGACACGACAGGGUUCCUGCUGUCAUUUCUUCCUCUUACCUUGUACCGUCUAAAAAUUGCAGGGAUGUAUUAAAAUGCUUUCUACUCCAUGUUAUUUUAGGUAAUAUUUAAUUAGGUUUUUAUGCUUUAAUACGAUGUCUGAUGUUCUGGAUCGUAUCCUCUAAUUUUUUCUACUAUAAUAAAGUUCCUGACACUAGUUUAGGAUGGACUGCAUCCUCUUCAUCAGAAGCCUUUGUCUUCCUUCUGCCUAAACUUCUGCCCCAG